AGGCGACCGCGACCUCUCUACCUACUUUACGCCGUAUUUUAAUAAUGUUACAGACUACUUUUGUAUGAAGAAGUUUGGUUAGUUCCGUUUUUUGAUAUAUUUGCCAUCAUUCUAAACUAAGAAAAUAUAACAUAAUCUAUGGCCGUUUUUAAUUUCGUUCUGUUUACAAUUCGCGGUAUCGGAAGUGCUGUGUGCGUGUUUCUUGGAACUUUGUUUGGUGAUUCAUUGGAUUUAUAUCAGCAUGUCAACUUGGCGUGGCGGCGAUGAGACCACCUGCGGAAAUCCUCGACCUCCUGUAUGCCAAGGACGAAGAUGACGAGGAGGAGGAGGACAACACUGAAGAUGACAGUGAUGACGAAUCAGAACUGUUUUGAUUAACUAUAGUGCAUGUUGUUUAUGUGAAACUAAUAAACUUUCUUUUACAUUU